ensembl:snoRNA SNORA73 Small nucleolar RNA SNORA73 family
CCAACGUGGGUAUCCAGAGAGGUUGCUCUCUUUGGCUCUGUCUGUGUGGCGUAUGGGAGCGUAGUGCCGACAGGUACAGUGAUGUAUAAUCCUAUUCCACAACGUUGGAUAUUAUGUUUGUUCCCAGCCAUUGGGCUGGUGGGGAUCCAUCCUGUAUAUUCCUAGACCUUCUCAGAGUCUCUGACAAUUACUGAGAAGAUAAACCAUGCAGGAUACAUUC